UGAGGUUGAGGUUUGUGAGGAUGUCUGGACUUGUCUAUAAGGAAUGAUGAAGAGCCCACAGCAGCAGCAGCAGCAGCAGCAGCUCUGCUCUGUCAGAAGCUCAUGAACUGUAACUUUGCUGAAUCUGCAGCCGUUUCACUCUGUAUUCAUCUGAUCCUGCUCUGACAUGUUGGUCCAACCCUGGAGAAAUGAAGUGGUUCUGAUUUAAUGUGUCUCUUUUAAUGUGAUGAAUUUGCAUUUAGUGCAUCUGCUGCCAAUUUGAAACCGAGUCUGAGAAAUCCCCCACACCUCCUGAAGCAGACUGACAGACUCGGGUUCAGGCUGCAGCUGGAGCUGUUUUUAUCUCCUUAAAUCUCUCUCAUCCUUUUGUGUCGAUGAAGGAGUCAGUUUGGCAUCCCUGAACAUCCUGCUCUGACUAUUCUGAGUCCCUCUGUUGGACUUGUUGUCAUCCUUGAGGUUAUUUUGAACUUUGAACAACUUUGAGGCACCCUGAAACCAUUGUGCAUCCCUGAACGUGUUCUUCAUCCCUUAGCUGACAGUUAGCAUCCUUAAACAGUUUCAGUCCUGGUUGUUGUCAUGCUGGUGUGUUUCCCUCCUCAUGCAUGGUCAUUGUCUGGCGUACGGCGCCCCCCUGACCUCCAGAUCCUCAGGUCAGGUAUCCCUCCCUGCAUCUGCACUCUUGUCCCGGCUUGUUUUUGGGUCUAAAGUUGGUCUUUGGCAGAUCUUCUAAAGGCUUAAUAUUCAGGAUCAGAGUUAAGCAUUGAGGCUCAUGCAGGUGAAAGAAGCUGCUUGUGCAGGUGCUUGUCAGUGUGUUGUUGUUGUUGUGUAGCUCUCUUGGUUGAGUGUGUGUUUGUCUUUGUGUGUAAGGUGGUAAUUUGCGGUCGGCUCAGAUUUUCCCCUCUUCAGGGCUUGUUGGUUCCUCCUGUGGAAACAACAGAGACUCUUUAUCCGUACCGCCUCAUUUUAGCGGGCUGUGGUUGUCUGCUCUCUCUCUCACACACACACACACACACACACACGCACACACACACACACAGACAUGCUGACAUUUAGGCAUGCCCUCAUAUACAUGUAGAGACAGAGUAUGUGCAGAGAGGAUCUAAUAAACUCUGCAGAAGAAUUCAGGCUUGUGCAUGAGAAGCAGCUUUAGGUGAAGCAUUGUUCUGCUUCUUUUGUGUAUCUUAGACGACUCUUCAACAAACACAUGACAGUUUGAGUCCCAGUACCAGAGCUGGAGAGUGAAGAUCUCUCUCUGACACUCCUCAUGGCUGUGAAAUCUUCCACUCUGCUGUUUUUUUAUUACCUUCAGCUGCAGAGAUGUGAACAUUUACGAAGAGCUUUCACUGACUUUGCACAUAUUUCACUGGAGUAUGGAAACCGAACUGAUGGGAACAAGAAUGACAAUAAAAACAAGAGUGAAUUUAUUCAGUUCAGCUCCUCAUGAGGUCACUCUCUGAAAGAGCUUUUAUUGUGCCUCAAAAACAUAACAGUCCCUGAAACUGAAUAAUGAAGUCCAGAAAAAGAACCGGUCCUGUCUUUGGAAAAGGGACUCGACCAUAUAAGGAGAUUCCUGUCAACCCCGGAGCGUCAUUAUUGGCUGAUUUACUGCCUAACAGUGUCAGAGAAAGUUAAGGUGGAUGUUUCCUUGGAGUAAAUCACCAAAUGAACAUCAUGAUAGUUUAUAAUAUCUCUGCUCCUCUGUGUUGACACAACACGUGAACGCUCUCUGACGGCGUCUCUCCUGGGUGGGCGAGCAGUCCCUGUUUCCUGAUAUAUGAGGCUGUAUUUCAUCAGAGCAGAUCAUAAAUGAGUCUUAUAGAAACAGAGGAGAGUGAGGAGCUGUGUUUGUGGGUACAGGAUGUAAACUCUGAGAUAAUUCAGCGGAUAUUUACUCCAUAAUCACAUCAGAGGGAAAUGUUGGUGAAGUUUUCUGUCAGGGUUUUACGGCCUGUUUUUUCUGCCUGUCUGAACACGAGUCAGUUUCUGAUCAUAAAGUGUAAAAAUAACUCCUGCAGGAGAACAAAGUGAUGCUGGUUUAUUUUAAUGACUAAAGAAAAGUUUAAAUUCAUUUACAGUCUGUUUAAGUACAGAUAUAUAAGGACAGACUCUUCUGUGCAGUAAAUAUUGACCCUCAAAUAUAAUCCAGACUAGUAGGGAUUAAACUCGACUGAUCCAAACUGAACUAACCUGGACUUUAGGAGUUAGACUCAGUUUUACUCAGACUGAUCUCAUUUUAGAUCAUUUAAAGAGACUUCACUUUGUCAGACUGGAGCUCAUUUUCAUGUUUUCACCUGCACAGAUCAUUGAGUCACUUCUUCUUCUCAUUAUUAUCAGGAUGAUUAUUGUGUUCAGAGUCUCAGUUCCACUCUCUGAUCUGCUUGAAUCUGUUUUGAAUGAAAUCACAAAGUCUGAAAACAUGUUUGAGUUGAAGGUCUGAUCAUUUGUCUGUGAGCGUCUCUGAAAGAGUUAAAGGCUGUGAUGAAGACUCGGACUGUAAACGGGUCUGUGUUCAUUCACUUCAUGAGGGUCUGACUGCAGGUUGUUGUGAUGUUGGGUUUUAUCUUGAUUAUAUCUUGUUUGAGAAAAACAAAUGUGAUCAUCACAGGUGUGACGUGUGAAGCUCUUGGACUGACUUGUGUUGUUCCUGCUGGACUCCAAUGUCUCAUUGUCACGUCUCUUUAAUCAGUCUUGACGUUAUAUUAGCUCCGCCCAUGAGCAGAUUAAAGGUUGGGCAUGAAGGUCUGCAGGUCUGGAGGUGUUGGACUCUGGUCUUCAAAGAGCUUCUGUGGGCGUGAGUCUGCUCUUUGUCCUCGAAUCUGGCGUCUCUGGAGCUGACCUUACACUUCUGUCCUGACUUGUUUUAAUUUUGUCACACAGUGAAAUCGAAUGUUAUUGAUAGGAUUAUGUAUUUAUUAAGGCUGUCAAAGUUAACGCGUUAUUGUCGCGUUAACUCGAGUGACUUUUAUCGCCACUAAUUUUUUUGACGCACGAUUAACGCAAGCCUUAGCCUGGCUUGACCAAUGACUAGACAUAUGAAUUACCUUGUAGGACCACCAUUACCAUGAAAAUCCACGAUCUGUUCUCAUGUUGAUUCUUAUGUUGAUAAAAGUAUACCAAUUUGAAAAAGAUCAAUUUAGAAUGGAUCAAAAAUAUGCGAUCAAUUUGCGAUUAAUCAUGAUUAAUCAUGAUCACAAUUCGAUUAAUCGCGAUUAAAUAUUUUAAUCGAUUGACAGCCCUAGUAUUUAUGUGUUUAUUGACCAGGAGAGGACCAAGAAGAGUCCUGCAAACUUUUGGUCAAACAUCUAGAAGAUGAGAUCAGUGUUUAUUUUUUAGCCUAAGUUAGAAAAGACGCUCUAAAAAACCAGUUUAAUCCAGUUUGCAUUAAAAUCAAUGACUUUUCUUGUUGCUUAUUGAGGCACAAAGUGUUUCAGUUUGGAUAUUAUUGUAACACUGAGAAUGAUCGUUGUUUUAUUGAUCAGUCUGCAGAUUUGAUUGAUUAUUUGAUCGAUGUGAGAGUCCGUUAAGUCUGAGAAAAGUGAGAAAAUGAAGCGGAGCGUUAAACUCAGUUCACGUCAAAGAAAGAGCGUGUCAAAGAUGGCCGCUCGGUCUGAGGUGCAGUGGGUGAAGUUUAGCCCCUCUGGGUGUUUGUCUCCUCAGGUCGCCUCCUCUAAACAAACUCCCGGCACUCCUCUUCUUCACCUCCCAUUUCAUCUAUAAUUACAGCUUUUUAUCCUGCGAGCGUCUCAGACUCAUCAGCCGGAGCAGACUGUGACAUGAAAGCUCUUUUACAGCUCCAGUGAUCCCGUCAGUGUGAGCUCAGGGCUGUAAAAGCAGCUGUGGGUCUUUUCUACCUGCUCCAGGUCUGAAGGUGCGAUGAUCUCACGCUGACGGAGAGAGAGAGGAUGUUUGCUUUUCCAUCUUUUUCUGUGUGGCGCCUAUCUGAUCCUCCAUCUUGACUGCUGGGUCAGCAGCAGGUUCCUCUCUGUCACUGGGGAAUGCUUUGUUUUCCCAGCUGCACAUACUGGUGGCUUUCAAGUGGUGAAAAUGGUGAUAAUGGCGGCUGUGGUUCUGCUUCUCCCACCUGCUCGCCUCUUCAAGAUCUAAUCAGGACAAUGUUUCCAAAAUAGCGGGCCGAGGAAAGGGUUAAUUCUGGCUCGGUUUGGAGAUGGUGGCCGAGGUUAGAGCUUUGGGUUUGUGCCGAAACUAUGAAGACGAGCGGUGUGUGAUAAAAACAUCAAAGUCCUUCACCCAGUCCUUCAGAAACACCACUGAGACCCGUUUAGUCUAACUUCUCUGCAGGCUAAACUUUACUCUAAACUUCCCUCAACCUGAACCACAGUCUUUGUCAACUUUUCCAGCCGGGUUUCGACAUGUUCCCGUGUUGCACAUCCCAGUCAGUGUUGCCACACUCGCUCCAAUCCUCCGGAGGGAACUGGACGGCUGCCAGAGACUGCAGAGAGGCCGUGAAGUCUCAGCAGACUGACUCAGGAGGCUGUUAAUCAGAGAGAGCGAAGGAGAGGCUCUUAGUGGAGUGACUGACAUUUAGGAGGUGGAUGGAGUUAUUGAUUUGGCAGCAGGAGUUUCCGUCCAGAUCGAACUCUUGUCUUUGUAAAUGAAAAUGAGUGAAUAAACUUUGAUGUUAGUUCAGGGUGAAGAGAAGACUUGGUUGAUCUCUGGUCUUAAAUGUGAAAGCUUCUUGAAUUGCAUGAAGAUUGAAUCCAGACAUGUGGACCAUGAAGGUCUGAUUGAGAGCAGCUCCGGGGUCUUUGUGUGGAGGGUACAGUAGCCGCUCUGUGGGAGUCUCUGCGGUUUUCGAUCCUCAGUUUCCCUCUUCAUGACUCACUGGGAGCUGAACCGGGUCAUGAACAGGACCUGCCCUCUGGUCUAAUAUCUGCAGCAGGAAUUUGAAGUGAAGCCUGGAGUUAGGAGGCCUUCACACUCCACUUGAAUGUCACAUCUCUUCAGGCUCAUGCUGUAAAAAUGUUCCUCUGACAGAUGAGAUCAGCAGGUAAAGACGAACACCGAGGAGGAGGAGGAGGAGGAGGAGGAGGAGGAGGAGGAGGAGGACCCUUUGGAGUCUAAAUGACCUUUAAUUACUGAAAAACCGCUUUAAUUACUUUAAUUUCUGCUGUCAGUCACGCCGUUAGAGGAGGCGUCAAACUUCCUCGCCUUGGAACAAAACUUCUCUCUUCCUACAGUCCCCACUAAACUUUUCUCCCAUGAUUCUUCACUGCCUGAUUUCUGACACAAACGUCCUCUUUCACGUUGAGGAUCCUCCAAACAACGGCCCGACUGUCUCGUCCUCCAGCACCCGUCUUCUUUAAUGAAUCGUGCAUUGAGGCCCGACAACCGAACCGUCUCACACCCUCUUGUCUGAAAAUGCUUUUGUCUGUGUGUGCCAAAAAUCCCACUUCGACAUACCGCAGGGGGGAAGGAUUCAGGGGGAGGAGGGAAGGAGGGAAGGAGGGAAGGAGGGAAGGAGUCAUGGGUGUUGAUUUCUGGCAGGACGCCUCACAGAGAAGCUUAUUUGCUUCUUCGCUGUAAAGAAUUUGAGUAAUUCAAUAACUGGAAAGUUCAGAUUGAAAUCAGACCGCCGUGUUGAUGAUUGACUGCAGAGAUUUAAACUAAAUCCACAUUUAUUUAGAGCAGAUUUGGUGAACAGUCAGGACAUCUCUCUUUCUUCUGUUGUAGCUCAAACUGUCAGACAGCAGGUGGCAGCGUUUCACCGCUGCAGCAGAAACAAACAGAGAUUAGCUGCACAAAAUAAAGUCUGUUUAACAUCCGCAAAAGUCACUUUGUGUUUGUCAUCAUCAUUAUUAUAUUAUUAUUAUUAUUAUUAUUAUUAUUAUUAUUAUUAUUAUUAUUAUUUUAUUAUUAUUAUUAUUAUUAUUAUUAUUAUUAUUAUUAUUAUUAUUUUUAUUUUUAUUAUUAUUAUUUUUAUUAUUAUUAUUAUUUUUUUAUUAUUAUUAUUUUUAUCAUUAUUAUUAUUAUUAUUAUUAUUAUUAUUAUUAUUAUUAUUAUUUUAUUAUUAUUAUUUUUAUCAUUAUUAUUAUUAUUAUUAUUAUUAUUUUUAUUAUUAUUGUUUUUAUCAUUAUUAUUAUUAUUAUUAUUAUUAUUAUUAUUAUUUUUAUUAUUAUUAUUUUAUCAUUAUUAUUAUUAUUAUUAUUAUUUAUUUAUUUAUUUUUUAUCAUUAUUAUUAUUAUUAUUAUUAUUAUUAUUAUUUUUAUUAAAGUUUUUAAUGAAGGUUAUUUCUGCAGUAUUCAGUCAUUUUUAAGCUGCAAACAUAAAUCUAAACCAAAGAGGAGGACUGAGUAACUGAGGUUCGACCUCUUCAGCCUCUGCUCUGCUGCCAUCUGCUGCUUCACGGAGGAACUGCAAGUCCACAAGUUUACACACAAAACACCAAACUUAGAAGGUGAAGUGAGCAAAUCUCCUCAGCCUGUAACAGUGUGGAGUAAAACACAGAAUAUUCCUCUAACAUACUUUUGUUCUGCGUUAAAGUCGUCGACAUUUGAGUUCAUUUCCAGUUUUUUAAGCUGCUGUCAUGAUUGCUGUGUGAGCAGUUAUUAAAAAAUGUCCAUAUUUGGGAUUAAAUGAGGAGGAGGAGGAGGAGGAGGAGGAGGUUUAUGAUGGAGCUGUGAGGCAGAUAAAAUCAGAGUGGUCAACUUUGCAGAGCGCAGACCUCCAACGUAAAAGUCAGAUAUUUGAUUUCCUUAUUGGACCUCCUAAAGUCUGUACCGACUCAGAGUUUGUGUGUGUGUGUGUGUGUGUGUGUGUGUGUGUGUGUGUGUGUGUGUGUGUGUGUGUGUGUGUGUGUGUGUGUGUGUGUGUGUGUGUGUGUGUGAGCUCAUGUUCCCGGGCCCAGCAGCAGCCUCUUCUCUUCUUCUUCUUCU